GUUUAGCCAUGUGUUAGCGAUUGAACGAUUUGUCUGAGCUCUUUUUGCCUUAGCAAAAAAGCGAGUCGUGAAAGCGCGACCGAGC
rnacentral:misc_RNA from 1 species